AGCUUCGGCGGGCAAGGCGGCGGGGAAGCCGCGGAACCUCCCGGCCAAUCGUCAGAAGGUCAGUAGUAGCCUCACGCUGCGCGCUGCGUCUGAAGGCGUCGCCCUUCACGUCACUUCAUCUCACGUAGGCGUUUUAUUCUCUGGCGUUCGGAGGGGGACAGGUGAUCCAAAGCCAGGCAUGAACGUUAGUCAACCAGCACCUCUGCUUUGGCUUCCUCAUCCGGUCGAGUCCAGGAGCUUGCUGCAGUCACUAGGAAUAUGACUAAGAAGACCCUCCGAUUUGGAGCUUUGUGGCGCAUGAGAUGACAGGUCUGCAAUGAUGGUGCUACCAACACUGCAAGGAGGACCCCCUGCCCCUUCUACCAUAUGAAGACACAGGGAGAAGAUCAUCUUUGGAACUGAAGAGGGCUCUCAUCAGACACUGAACCUGCCGGUGCCUUAAUCUUGGACUUCCAGCCUCCAGAACUGUGAGAAAUAAAUACCUAUUGUUUAU